UUAAGCGACUAAGCGUACACGGUGGAUGCCCUGGCAGUCAGAGGCGAUGAAGGACGUGCUAAUCUGCGAAAAGCGUCGGUAAGGUGAUAUGAACCGUUAUAGCCGGCGAUGUCCGAAUGGGGAAACCCAGUGCAAUUCGUUGCACUAUCGUUAACUGAAUACAUAGGUUAACGAGGCGAACCGGGGGAACUGAAACAUCUAAGUACCCCGAGGAAAAGAAAUCAACCGAGAUUCCCCCAGUAGCGGCGAGCGAACGGGGAGCAGCCCAGAGUCUGAAUCAGCUUGUGUGUUAGUGGAACGGUCUGGAAAGUCCGACGGUACAGGGUGAUAGUCCCGUACACCAAAAUGCACAGGUUGUGAACUCGAAGAGUAGGGCGGGACACGUGGUAUCCUGUCUGAAUAUGGGGGGACCAUCCUCCAAGGCUAAAUACUCCUGACUGACCGAUAGUGAACCAGUACCGUGAGGGAAAGGCGAAAAGAACCCCGGCGAGGGGAGUGAAAAAGAACCUGAAACCGUGUACGUACAAGCAGUGGGAGCACCUUCGGGUGUGACUGCGUACCUUUUGUAUAAUGGGUCAGCGACUUAUAUUCUGUAGCAAGGUUAACCGUAUAGGGGAGCCGCAGGGAAACCGAGUCUUAACUGGGCGUUAAGUUGCAGGGUAUAGACCCGAAACCCGGUGAUCUAGCCAUGGGCAGGUUGAAGGUUGGGUAACACUAACUGGAGGACCGAACCGACUAAUGUUGAAAAAUUAGCGGAUGACUUGUGGCUGGGGGUGAAAGGCCAAUCAAACCGGGAGAUAGCUGGUUCUCCCCGAAAGCUAUUUAGGUAGCGCCUCGUGAAUUCAUCUUCGGGGGUAGAGCACUGUUUCGGCUAGGGGGUCAUCCCGACUUACCAACCCGAUGCAAACUACGAAUACCGAAGAAUGUUAUCACGGGAGACACACGGCGGGUGCUAACGUCCGUCGUGAAGAGGGAAACAACCCAGACCGCCAGCUAAGGUCCCAAAGUCAUGGUUAAGUGGGAAACGAUGUGGGAAGGCACAGACAGCCAGGAUGUUGGCUUAGAAGCAGCCAUCAUUUAAAGAAAGCGUAAUAGCUCACUGGUCGAGUCGGCCUGCGCGGAAGAUGUAACGGGGCUAAACCAUGCACCGAAGCUGCGGCAGCGACACUAUGUGUUGUUGGGUAGGGGAGCGUUCUGUAAGCCUGCGAAGGUGGCCUGUGAGGGUUGCUGGAGGUAUCAGAAGUGCGAAUGCUGACAUAAGUAACGAUAAAGCGGGUGAAAAGCCCGCUCGCCGGAAGACCAAGGGUUCCUGUCCAACGUUAAUCGGGGCAGGGUGAGUCGACCCCUAAGGCGAGGCCGAAAGGCGUAGUCGAUGGGAAACAGGUUAAUAUUCCUGUACUUGGUGUUACUGCGAAGGGGGGACGGAGAAGGCUAUGUUAGCCGGGCGACGGUUGUCCCGGUUUAAGCAUGUAGGCUGGUUAUCCAGGCAAAUCCGGAUAAUCAAGGCUGAGGUGUGAUGACGAGGCACUACGGUGCUGAAGUAACAAAUGCCCUGCUUCCAGGAAAAGCCUCUAAGCAUCAGGUAACAUCAAAUCGUACCCCAAACCGACACAGGUGGUCAGGUAGAGAAUACCAAGGCGCUUGAGAGAACUCGGGUGAAGGAACUAGGCAAAAUGGUGCCGUAACUUCGGGAGAAGGCACGCUGGUGUGUAGGUGAAGUCCCUGCGGAUGGAGCUGAGACCAGUCGAAGAUACCAGCUGGCUGCAACUGUUUAUUAAAAACACAGCACUGUGCAAACACGAAAGUGGACGUAUACGGUGUGACGCCUGCCCGGUGCCGGAAGGUUAAUUGAUGGGGUUAUCCGUAAGGAGAAGCUCUUGAUCGAAGCCCCGGUAAACGGCGGCCGUAACUAUAACGGUCCUAAGGUAGCGAAAUUCCUUGUCGGGUAAGUUCCGACCUGCACGAAUGGCGUAAUGAUGGCCAGGCUGUCUCCACCCGAGACUCAGUGAAAUUGAACUCGCUGUGAAGAUGCAGUGUACCCGCGGCAAGACGGAAAGACCCCGUGAACCUUUACUAUAGCUUGACACUGAACAUUGAGCCUUGAUGUGUAGGAUAGGUGGGAGGCUUUGAAGCGUGGACGCCAGUCUGCGUGGAGCCAACCUUGAAAUACCACCCUUUAAUGUUUGAUGUUCUAACGUUGGCCCCUUACCGGGGUUGCGGACAGUGUCUGGUGGGUAGUUUGACUGGGGCGGUCUCCUCCCAAAGCGUAACGGAGGAGCACGAAGGUUAGCUAAUCCUGGUCGGACAUCAGGAGGUUAGUGCAAUGGCAUAAGCUAGCUUGACUGCGAGCGUGACGGCGCGAGCAGGUGCGAAAGCAGGUCAUAGUGAUCCGGUGGUUCUGAAUGGAAGGGCCAUCGCUCAACGGAUAAAAGGUACUCCGGGGAUAACAGGCUGAUACCGCCCAAGAGUUCAUAUCGACGGCGGUGUUUGGCACCUCGAUGUCGGCUCAUCACAUCCUGGGGCUGAAGUAGGUCCCAAGGGUAUGGCUGUUCGCCAUUUAAAGUGGUACGCGAGCUGGGUUUAGAACGUCGUGAGACAGUUCGGUCCCUAUCUGCCGUGGGCGCUGGAGAAUUGAGGGGGGCUGCUCCUAGUACGAGAGGACCGGAGUGGACGCAUCACUGGUGUUCGGGUUGUCAUGCCAAUGGCACUGCCCGGUAGCUAAAUGCGGAAGAGAUAAGUGCUGAAAGCAUCUAAGCACGAAACUUGCCCCGAGAUGAGUUCUCCCUGAGACUUUAAGUCUCCUGAAGGAACGUUGAAGACGACGACGUUGAUAGGCCGGGUGUGUAAGCGCAGCGAUGCGUUGAGCUAACCGGUACUAAUGAACCGUGAGGCUUAACCUU
rnacentral:rRNA from 2 species